rnacentral:rRNA from 1 species
UGGGGUAUAUUGGACAAUGGGCGGAAGCCUGAUCCAGCCAUGCCGCGUGUGUGAAGAAGGCCUUUUGGUUGUAAAGCACUUUAAGCGAGGAGGAGGCUACUUGGAUUAAUACUCUAGGAUAGUGGACGUUACUCGCAGAAUAAGCACCGGCUAACUCUGUGCCAGCAGCCGCGGUAAUACACAGGGUGCGAGCGUUAAUCGGAUUUACUGGGCGUUAAGCGUGCGUAGGCGGCUUCUUAAGUCGGAUGUGAAAUCCCUGAGCUUAACUUAGGAAUUGCAUUCGAUACUGGGAAGCUAGAGUAUGGGAGAGGAUGGUAGAAUUCCAGGUGUAGCGGUGAAAUGCGUAGAGAUCUGGAGGAAUACCGAUGGCGAAGGCAGCCAUCUGGCCUAAUACUGACGCUGAGGUACGAAAGCAUGGGGAGCAAACAGG